AUGGAGAAUCAGGUUUUCACGGAGGUUCUUACUGCGGGUGAUAUGUAAGGAAGAAUUCACCAGGGAGGAAGGGCCCACGAUGGUGAUGUGCCUGCUUCACAAGCCUGCAAAUGAGUAAGGAAACACAAGCCUCUGAGGGCAAGGAAAUCGAAAGAGUGUAAAGGGGCACAUUUUACAGCUACACCUUCACCCACUUUGACUGUGUCUUGGGAAGUUCCUGAUUUCUAAAAGAUCCAAAGGGCCAGAGGGACACUGUCUUCCAUGGGAAAGGAAGCAUACAAAAGGAACAGAAACUUCUCUGCAAAGCAUCAGUACAAACCCACUGGCCUGGAAUGAUAUUUAUCCUCUUAAUUAUGUUUUGCAAAAGACUGAUAAUAAAAGCAAUUUUCUAAGGAAAGGCUGAAAAAGUGUUUCAGAAUAA